rfam:Pantoea ananatis LMG 20103, complete genome.
GCCCGAAUAGCUCAGUCGGUAGAGCAGGGGAUUGAAAAUCCCCGUGUCCCUGGUUCGAUUCCGGGUUCGGGCA